GACGAACGCUGGCAGCGUGCCUAAUACAUGCAAGUCGAGCGGACUUAAAAGCUUGCUUUUUAAGUUAGCGGCGGACGGGUGAGUAACACGUGGGCAACCUGCCUGUAAGACUGGGAUAACUUCGGGAAACCGGAGCUAAUACCGGAUAAUCCUUUCCUACUCAUGUAGGAAAGCUGAAAGACGGUUUACGCUGUCACUUACAGAUGGGCCCGCGGCGCAUUAGCUAGUUGGUGAGGUAACGGCUCACCAAGGCGACGAUGCGUAGCCGACCUGAGAGGGUGAUCGGCCACACUGGGACUGAGACACGGCCCAGACUCCUACGGGAGGCAGCAGUAGGGAAUCUUCCGCAAUGGACGAAAGUCUGACGGAGCAACGCCGCGUGAGUGAUGAAGGUUUUCGGAUCGUAAAACUCUGUUGUUAGGGAAGAACAGGUACGAGAGUAACUGCUCGUACCUUGACGGUACCUAACCAGAAAGCCACGGCUAACUACGUGCCAGCCGCCGCGGUAA
rnacentral:rRNA from 1 species